rnacentral:rRNA from 1 species
GACGAACGCUGGCGGCGUGCCUAAUACAUGCAAGUAGAACGCAGUUGCGAACGGGUGAGUAACGCGUAGGUAACUGCCUGGUAGCGGGGGAUAACUAUUGGAAACGAUAGCUAAUACCGCAUACUACCAGAUGGACCUGCGGUGUAUUAGCUAGUUGGUGAGGUAACGGCUCACCAAAGCAACGAUACAUAGCCGACCUGAGAGGGUGAUCUGGCCAAAUGGGACUGAGACACGGCCCAGACUCCUACGGUAGGCAGGAGUAGGGAAACUGCGGAAAUGGGGGGAAACCUGACCGAGCAACGCCGCGUGAGUGAAUAAGGUUUUCGGAGCGUAAAGCGCCGUUGUUAAGGAAGCGGUACUUAGCCAGAAAGGGACGGCUAACUACGUGCCAGCAGACGGGGUAAUUC